rnacentral:ncRNA from 2 species
UGAAGUGAUAGAGGCGCAAUGACCAUUAGUACAAACUUUAAGGAGAGUGAGCUCCGUUGACGGGUUUGAAAAGGGGGAUUUGCCGAAGCGACGAGUUUCUCAUUGGCUUUGUUGCUGGGUCUGUCAUUGAACAAAUACAGAACUGUCGUAUAGUUUUUAACUAUAUGGAGGGCUAUCUUACGC